GAGUGAUCUGUCUGCUUAAUUGCGUUUCAUAUUUCGAAUGUCGCUUACGUGAUUGCUGCAGACCUCGUCUCCUCUGGAGGCGACGCGUCUCUUCAACUCACUCGCACAUUCUCUUGAACGCAACGAGCGUGACCGCAACCUCUUGUUGUGUAUACCAAGUGUGGCGCUGGCUUGCCAGCUCGCACUCCAAUGCACGUAUUUUGGUCACAUUGUCUCGCGGCGCCUCGGCGUUUGCAGCAAUGUCCAAAUAAACUUGAGGGACCGCUGUAACAAUUCUUUUA
rnacentral:rRNA from 1 species